GAUGAACGCUGGCGGCGUGCCUAAUACAUGCAAGUCGAGCGAACGGACGAGAAGCUUGCUUCUCUGAUGUUAGCGGCGGACGGGUGAGUAACACGUGGAUAACCUACCUAUAAGACUGGGAUAACUUCGGGAAACCGGAGCUAAUACCGGAUAAUAUUUUGAACCGCAUGGUUCAAAAGUGAAAGACGGUCUUGCUGUCACUUAUAGAUGGAUCCGCGCUGCAUUAGCUAGUUGGUAAGGUAACGGCUUACCAAGGCAACGAUGCAUAGCCGACCUGAGAGGGUGAUCGGCCACACUGGAACUGAGACACGGUCCAGACUCCUACGGGAGGCAGCAGUAGGGAAUCUUCCGCAAUGGGCGAAAGCCUGACGGAGCAACGCCGCGUGAGUGAUGAAGGUCUUCGGAUCGUAAAACUCUGUUAUUAGGGAAGAACAUAUGUGUAAGUAACUGUGCACAUCUUGACGGUACCUAAUCAGAAAGCCACGGCUAACUACGUGCCAGCAGCCGCGGUAAUACGUAGGUGGCAAGCGUUAUCCGGAAUUAUUGGGCGUAAAGCGCGCGUAGGCGGUUUUUUAAGUCUGAUGUGAAAGCCCACGGCCCAACCGUGGAGGGUCAUUGGAAACUGGAAAACUUGAGUGCAGAAGAGGAAAGUGGAAUUCCAUGUGUAGCGGUGAAAUGCGCAGAGAUAUGGAGGAACACCAGUGGCGAAGGCAACUUUCUGGUCUGUAACUGACGCUGAUGUGCGAAAGCGUGGGGAUCAAACAGGAUUAGAUACCCUGGUAGUCCACGCCGUAAACGAUGAGUGCUAAGUGUUAGGGGGUUUCCGCCCCUUAGUGCUGCAGCUAACGCAUUAAGCACUCCGCCUGGGGAGUACGACCGCAAGGUUGAAACUCAAAGGAAUUGACGGGGACCCGCACAAGCGGUGGAGCAUGUGGUUUAAUUCGAAGCAACGCGAAGAACCUUACCAAAUCUUGACAUCCUUUGACAACUCUAGAGAUAGAGCUUUCCCCUUCGGGGGACAAAGUGACAGGUGGUGCAUGGUUGUCGUCAGCUCGUGUCGUGAGAUGUUGGGUUAAGUCCCGCAACGAGCGCAACCCUUAAGCUUAGUUGCCAUCAUUAAGUUGGGCACUCUAAGUUGACUGCCGGUGACAAACCGGAGGAAGGUGGGGAUGACGUCAAAUCAUCAUGCCCCUUAUGAUUUGGGCUACACACGUGCUACAAUGGACAAUACAAAGGGCAGCGAAACCGCGAGGUCAAGCAAAUCCCAUAAAGUUGUUCUCAGUUCGGAUUGUAGUCUGCAACUCGACUACAUGAAGCUGGAAUCGCUAGUAAUCGUAGAUCAGCAUGCUACGGUGAAUACGUUCCCGGGUCU
rnacentral:rRNA from 1 species